GGCCUUGCCGCAGCUUACCAUGCAGUCGAGCGGUAACAUUUCUAGCUUGCUAGAAGAUGACGAGCGGCGGACGGGUGAGUAAUACUUAGGAAUCUACCUAGUAGUGGGGGAUAGCACGGGGAAACUCGUAUUAAUACCGCAUACGACCUACGGGAGAAAGGGGGCAGUUUACUGCUCCCGCUAUUAGAUGAGCCUAAGUCGGAUUAGCUAGAUGGUGGGGUAAAGGCCUACCAUGGCGACGAUCUGUAGCUGGUCUGAGAGGAUGAUCAGCCACACCGGAACUGAGACACGGUCCGGACUCCUACGGGAGGCAGCAGUGGGGAAUAUUGGACAAUGGGGGCAACCCUGAUCCAGCCAUGCCGCGUGUGUGAAGAAGGCCUUUUGGUUGUAAAGCACUUUAAGCAGUGAAGAAGACUCUUCGGUUAAUACCCGGAGACGAUGACAUUAGCUGCAGAAUAAGCACCGGCUAACUCUGUGCCAGCAGCCGCGGUAAUACAGAGGGUGCAAGCGUUAAUCGGAAUUACUGGGCGUAAAGCGAGCGUAGGUGGCUUGAUAAGUCAGAUGUGAAAUCCCCGGGCUUAACCUGGGAACUGCAUCUGAUACUGUUAGGCUAGAGUAGGUGAGAGGAAGGUAGAAUUCCAGGUGUAGCGGUGAAAUGCGUAGAGAUCUGGAGGAAUACCGAUGGCGAAGGCAGCCUUCUGGCAUCAUACUGACACUGAGGCUCGAAAGCGUGGGUAGCAAACAGGAUUAGAUACCCUGGUAGUCCACGCCGUAAACGAUGUCUACUAGUCGUUGGGUCCCUUGAGGACUUAGUGACGCAGCUAACGCAAUAAGUAGACCGCCUGGGGAGUACGGCCGCAAGGUUAAAACUCAAAUGAAUUGACGGGGGCCCGCACAAGCGGUGGAGCAUGUGGUUUAAUUCGAUGCAACGCGAAGAACCUUACCUGGUCUUGACAUACAGAGAAUCUGGCAGAGAUGCGGGAGUGCCUUCGGGAAUUCUGAUACAGGUGCUGCAUGGCUGUCGUCAGCUCGUGUCGUGAGAUGUUGGGUUAAGUCCCGCAACGAGCGCAACCCUUUGUCCUUUAGUUACCAGCGGGUUUGGCCGGGAAACUCUAGGAUACUGCCCAGUGACAACCUGGAGGAAGGCGGGACGACGUCUAGUCAUCAUUGGCCCUUACGACCAGGCUAACCUACGUGCCUACAAUGCUAGGUACAGAGGCCAGCUUACCAGGCGAAUGUGUGAUUGCGAAA
rnacentral:rRNA from 1 species